UGAGGAAUAUUGGUCAAUGGGCGCAGGCCUGAACCAGCCAAGUAGCGUGAAGGAUGACUGCCCUAUGGGUUGUAAACUUCUUUUAUAUGGGAAUAAAGUUUUCCACGUGUGGAAUUUUGUAUGUACCAUAUGAAUAAGGAUCGGCUAACUCCGUGCCAGCAGCCGCGGUAAUACGGAGGAUCCGAGCGUUAUCCGGAUUUAUUGGGUUUAAAGGGAGCGUAGGUGGACAGUUAAGUCAGUUGUGAAAGUUUGCGGCUCAACCGUAAAAUUGCAGUUGAGACUGGCUGUCUAGAGUACAGUAGAGGUGGGCGGAAUUCGGGGUGUAGCGGUGAAAUGCUUAGAUAUCACGAAGAACUCCGAUUGCGAAGGCAGCUCACUGGACUGCAACUGACACUGAUGCUCGAAAGUGUGGGUAUCAAACA
rnacentral:rRNA from 1 species